AUUAUCUCUGGUUAUACUGCUCUUAUACCGCCGAUCAGAUCGUCGGGAUCUAGAAAAACACCAGUAGAGAAAAGCAGAAGAUCUAGAUUGAAUGAUCUUAACUUUAUUGCAUCAACUGGUAUUUACAAAGCGCACCAACAACACUCCUCUUAAAAUUGUCGAUGUAGAAUCAACAACUAUUCUAAACUUCUAAUUUUUAAUGGUAAAUCUCGCAA
rnacentral:lncRNA from 1 species